AUUAAGAAAAGAAUUUUGCAUUAAGUGAGGCAGGAAUUGGGUACUGUGGAUUUAAUUAUUUUCAUUGGUACCAAAUUGAAUAAAUCUUUGUAGAUAUUUGAUUUUCUGAUUUUGCCAACGUCUGCAUAUAACAAGCAGAAAAAUUUGUAUAUCACUGAACAUUAAAAUUUGGGGUUCAUCUGCACCAACAAAACCCCCAAAAAGUGUUAUCCAUUAAAAAAUAAAGAAUGGUAAAAUCAAAAAAAUACUUAACUCUGAGUAAAGUUCAAAAUGGUAAGUCCCUAAUCAAAAUAGCAAAAUCAAAAUGGAAAGUCCCUAAUCAAAUGGCAAAAUCAAAAUGCUCAAACACUUUAAAUAAACAAAUUGAAAAAGUGGCAUAUUCCUGAUUUGGUACAGG
rnacentral:lncRNA from 1 species